UCCGAAUGUAUUAAGGGCACAUGGUGGAUGCCUUGGGAGAAGAAGCCGAUGAAGGACGUAGUGAGCUGCGAUAAGCUUCGGGAAGGUGCUGAGCAACCGUCGAUCCGAAGAUCUCCGAAUGGGGAAACCCUGCAAUGUGAAGCAUUGUAAACAUUAAGAGUGCCCUGCCACUCUCUAACUCGCCGCCCAUUAUUAUUGAUUAAUGGUUAGCGGUAUUAAGUAGUUACCGAGUGUGGUUGGUCACUCUUAAUGUUGGGAACCUGGGGAACUGAAACAUCUUAGUACCCAGAGGAAAAGAAAACAAUAAUUGCUGUUUAGCAAUGCAAGUUCGUUUUGCUCGUGCAUUUGAAUUAGCGUUAUUACUAACGGCUAAUUUAUUAGCGGCGAGCAAUCUACGCUAAAGCAUUUGUGCGAAGCGAAGCGAGUUUGUGUGAUUUCGUGAGUAGCGGCGAGCGAAAGCGAACCAGUCUUUCUGUGCGUAGUGGAAAAUUAGAUAGCUAAAUGAACCUGGAAUGGACGACCAUAGAGGGUGAGAGUCCCGUAAGCGAAAUUUAUUUUUUUAACCGUACAGUCAUGUCGAUAUUAUUAUGUCGAGGUGAAGUAGGUCGAGACACGUGAAAUCUCGAUUGAAUACCGGUGGAUCAUCAUCGAAGACUAAAUACUUCUUCUCACCGAUAGUGAACAAGUACCGUGAGGGAAAGGUGAAAAGUACCCCUAGCCGGGGAGUGAAAUAGUACCUGAAACCGUGUGCUUACAAGGAGUCGGAGCCCCUUUAUGGGGUGACGGCGUGCCUUUUGAAGAAUGAGCCUGCGAGU
rnacentral:rRNA from 1 species